CCCUUCUCCCAUCCUUCCUCUCUCUUUGCUUCUCCCCCUUCCUCUUCUCCCUCUCGCCGUGCCACCGUGGGGUGAGCCUCCUCCGGGAGAUGCUCCCACCUCGGAGCGGCAGAAGGGAAGGCCCUGGACCUCCUCCGAAGUGGUGCCGGAGGAGUCGAACGGGGUCCCCGAAGUGGGGCCGAGCCCUUGGGAGCUCCCCUGAGGUGGCCGACGCUUCCUCGGCCUGCAGCCGCUCCGGCGACUGCGGCCGAGGGAUGCCCUUCUCCAGGGUGGGAGCAGUGGGAGAGGGAGGGGCUAAACUUCCUCCGAAGUGAUGCCGGAGUGAGUUUGUCUCCGGGGACCUCCCUUACCCCGAUCCGGCCACGGCGGAGGAGGAGAACCACCGUGACCGAGAAGGAGGCGCGAGAGACCCAGGUACGAUCCUCUCUUUUUUCC
rnacentral:lncRNA from 1 species